rnacentral:rRNA from 1 species
UACGAAGGGGGCUAGCGUUGUUCGGAAUUACUGGGCGUAAAGCGCGCGCAGGCGGCUAUCCAAGUCAGUGGUGAAAGCCCGGAGCUCAACUCCGGAACUGCCAUUGAAACUGUUUAGCUUGAGGACGAGAGAGGUGAGUGGAAUUCCCAGUGUAGAGGUGAAAAUUCGUAGAUAUUGGGAAGAACACCGGUGGCGAAGGCGGCUCACUGGCUCGUUUCUGACGCUCAGGCGCGAUAGCGUGGGGAUCAAACAGG